rnacentral:lncRNA from 1 species
GUUAAUUUAUACAUAACAGUGCUUAGACUGACACUGCUGUAAAAAUGCAUAAGGCCUUCAUUACAGCCAGUCAGUGGCCGCAAAUUAGCGGGAAGUGAGAUAGAAGCUACGGAAAGUUCUGGAAUGUUCCACGGAAAAUAUACUGGGAUCUGUAAGGGGGCAGAGAGAGAGAAAGACAGAGACGAAGAGAGCACAUUAUCACACAUAGUCAAAAGAUCUCCAAAUGCUUCGG